UACGUAGGGAGCAAGCGUUGUCCGGAAUCAUUGGGCGUAAAGCGCGCGUAGGCGGCCCGAUAAGUCCGUUGUGAAAGUCAAAGGCUCAACCUUUGAAUGCCGAUGGAUACUGUCGGGCUAGAGUCCGGAAGAGGCGAGUGGAAUUCUUGGUGUAGCGGUGGAAUGCGCAGAUAUCAGGAGGAACACCAAUAGCGAAGGCAGCUCGCUGGGACGGUACUGACGCUAAGGCGCGAAAGCGUGGGGAGCGAACAGG
rnacentral:rRNA from 1 species